UACGGGGGGAGCAAGCGUUGUUCGGAUUUACUGGGCGUAAAGGGCGCGUAGGCGGCACUGCAAGUCAGUUGUGAAAUCUCCGGGCUUAACCCGGAAAGGUCAACUGAUACUGCAGGGCUAGAGUGCGGAAGGGGCAAUCGGAAUUCUUGGUGUAGCGGUGAAAUGCGUAGAUAUCAAGAGGAACACCUGAGGUGAAGACGGGUUGCUGGGCCGACACUGACGCUGACAGCGCGAAAGCCAGGGGAGCAAACGGG
rnacentral:rRNA from 1 species